UCCACGGAAGGACAAGAAUUCUGGGAUGCUGGGCCUCAGCAGCUGUUUCUGUUCCAAUUUUUCCUUGUGAUUGCCUAAAUUUCAAAGGCCCUGAUCUGAGAGGGUGUUUAUAAAGCCAUUUCUUCAGGGCAUGGCUGCACUGCACCUUCAGGUCAGACAAGUAAAAGUCCUCAUUCUCUUUUGCAGCCGUGGCAUUCCCACCUCAGCCUGAAGUGACGGCAGCCUCUCCUCAGCACGGCUGCCCCAUCCCAGCCUGGCAGGAGGGUUUUGCCUCCUGUUUGGGCAGGGUGUGUUAUCUGCCAAAAAGGAAGUUCAAAGCACUGAAGGCACAACCCCUCUCACCUCAGUGAGGACACAGCAGGGAGAGCAACACGUUCAUCUUUCUGGUCACGUAUCUUUCAAGAAAUGGAAAUAAAUACUAGGCUAUGAAGUUUUUGCAGAAUACAGUGUUAUUUAGAAGCUGGAAGACUCUUGCCAGGGUCCCCUGCUCCCCUGCAGCCUUGGCGUGGGCGUUGCAUGUUCACAUAAGCUGAUGAGAUAUCUUUAACAUGAAGCAUGACAGCUUGGAUUUUUGAAGAAGGCUGCUGAAGGGCUGAGCUUUUCCUGUUCUCUUUAGAAGGUGAGCUGAACUGCAUUUAGAAGCCUUUAUGUGAUGUUUUAUUAAUCCCAUGAGUCUACUUGCACAAUAUUUAUGUCCUUUGGCUUCGUGACACUUUUAUGGUGACCACACAAGGGACCAUGUUGCUACACACUAGUCAUUUCAGGGUUUGUUCUGCCAGAGAUAUCCCAAGGUUUGUAUUACAUUGCUUUAAGAAUGGCUUUUGGGACACAUGAAACACCUUUUCUUGCAAUCAGUCACACCUUUCAUGUGUGCCUUUACAAAGCUAAUCAGCAGCUGCAUUUGUUUCUUCUCUCCAAAACACCCUUCUCCAUCUUGACCUAGGUGUUCCUUGCAUGAAUAUUCAUAAAUUUGAUAUUAAUUAAGUGUGAGAGAUGUACUCUCUUCUAUUAUCUGAGGUUCUGUCUUCUCUUCAUGUCUGCAGCAUGCUGACUUUAUAAUCUUCCCCCUCAAAGAAGUGAAAGGAUAAAUGAGUAAAUACAGACACUCGUGUAAAAGCUGGUGCCACAUGUUGCCUGGAGACUAAUAGCUGUCAGAGCUAAAAUAGCCAACCUGCUCUGGA